AACGACUCUCGGCAACGGAUAUCUCGGCUCUCGCAUCGAUGAAGAACGUAGCGAAAUGCGAUACUUGGUGUGAAUUGCAGAAUCCCCGUGAACCAUCGAGUCUUUGAACGCAAGUUGCGCCCGAAGCCUUCCGGCCGAGGGCACGUCUGCCUGGGCGUCACGC
rnacentral:rRNA from 1 species